rnacentral:rRNA from 1 species
UGGGGAAUAUUGCACAAUGGACGGAAGUUUGAUGCAGCGACGCCGCGUGGAGGGUGUAGGCCUUCGGGUUGUGAACUCCUUUUUCUCGCGAAAAAGGCACAGUUUUGGCUGUGUUGAUGGUAGUGGGGGAAGAAGCGCCGGCUAACUACGUGCCAGCAGCCGCGGUAAUACGUAGGGCGCGAGCGUUGUCCGGAUUUAUUGGGCGUAAAGAGCUCGUAGGUGGUUCGUCGCGUCUGUCGUGAAAGCCAGCAGCUUAACUGUUGGUCUGCGGUGGGUACGGGCGGGCUUGAGUGCGGUAGGGGUGACUGGAAUUCCUGGUGUAGCGGUGGAAUGCGCAGAUAUCAGGAGGAACACCGAUGACGAAGGCAGGUCACUGGGCCGUUACUGACACUGAGGAGCGAAAGCGUGGGGAGCGAACAGG